GACAGAGGGGGCAAGCGUUGCUCGGAAUUACUGGGCGUAAAGGGCGCGUAGGCGGGAUGGCAAGUCGGUCGUGAAAUCCCCGGGCUCAACCUGGGAAUUGCGAUGGAGACUGCAAGGCUAGAAUCUGGCAGAGGGGGUAGAAUUCCACGUGUAGCAGUGAAAUGCGUAGAUAUGCGGAGGAACACCGAUGGCGAAGGCAAUCCCCUGGACCUGUACUGACGCUCAUGCACGAAAGCGUGGGGAGCAAACAGG
rnacentral:rRNA from 1 species